rnacentral:lncRNA from 1 species
UUGAAAAACAAAAUAUUUUUUUUGUGACUUUAAUCUAGGCUUUAUUUUUUAAUUCAAAGAACUAGAAAACAUGGUGAAGAUUGCAAUCAAGAUAGCAUUUAUAAUGAUCUUUUUCGCUUUAGUAACCACCAACGGUAUUUUCUUUUUCAUCUUAUAGGUGUUUUUUUUUCCGAUAUCUAAAUAAUUAUAUUAUCUAAUACCUACUAAUUUUGCUUAUACUUUAUGAUUGUGUCUCUUAAAACAAUUCUAUUAAUUAUUUUUCUUCAAUCUCAAAAUUGAGGCUGCAAGAAAAAAGUCUAGUGUAAAAGACAAAUAAAAUUUUGAUCUUUAAUUUUAUUAUAAAGACAAAUAAAUUUUUUACUAAAUUAAAAUAUAAAUAAAUUCUUAACUUUUGUAAAUAGGAGACAUAUAAUAAGUUCUUCUAUCGAUAAUUUGUUUGAUUUUAGUAUGGAUGAACUUUUUUACAUUUCCAUCACCUAUUAUGUAUGUGACUCUCUAUUUCAUUUUAUUUUUUAAAUUUUUUUUUUGUAGGAAUUGAUCUCCCAAAAAUAGCAAGAAAAGUGGUGCCUGAGACAAAGGGUUGCCCGGGAAAUUGCGCUUAUCUACAACCAUAUUGUGAUCCACUAUUUCCUGCGUGUCUAUAUGGCCAUUGUACAUGUGCUAAGUUAAGCACAAUAGAAGAACACCACAAUGUUGUACAUGCUGAAAAACAAAACUAGUGGCUAGCUGCAUACUGUUACAAUUAAUGUAACAUUACUCCACCUACCUACC